rnacentral:rRNA from 1 species
AUGAUGGAGGGCGCCGCCCAGCUCCUGGCUGACGGAUUUGCUGGCUCCCCGCUCCUCGGGGCCAGCCCCUCCCCGUGCCGAGUCGAGCAUCGACUUGGAGGCCCCUUGGGGCUGCCGCCGGUGCGGGAGUUCCGUGCGGCCGUGCGGGCUGGGUACCGAGCGGCGGGGCCCGUGGUGCGACGCUCGAUGGAUGGCCUGCACAACGCGGACGACUGCUUCUCUCCCAGGAGGGCCAUAGGAAGCCACUACAUGUCGGAGCUGUUGCAGGAGCACCAGAAGCUUAUCCUGUUCACACAGGUGCUACCAAUCUGCAUCAAACUAUUGGGCCACUAUGAGAGCCUGGAUUCACUCCCUCGCCGCCGCCCGGUCUACCAUUAUUGGCCUAGAGAAGAAAAAGGUUCCAUGAGGGUGUAUAUUACAGAAGUGGAGAAAGAGCUCGCCUACCAUGCAUGUUGCCUGGUCCGAUGA